AGAAAUUCUGUGGUCUUGAUUGUAAAUGAUAUUAUACUGGCCCACAAAAUUUCUUU
rnacentral:pre_miRNA from 1 species